rnacentral:lncRNA from 1 species
GGGAAUUGAAACUAUCCACAAGAUAAUGAUCAAAUGGUAUUAAGAUUCUGGGUAUAAGGUGCUGUUCAAAUUAAGAGUUUAUCAUCUACAGAGGAUCUUCAUGGCUGGUAGAACUCCAAGAUUAGUAAAAGCAAGGCCGAGUCUCACAGAUAAAUCAGAUUUUUGAACAGUCACAAGAAGAGAUAUGAAGGACACUGACCAGACUGUACCCCAAGUGUCUGUGAUGAGUCCAUGAUGAGAAGAAAGGAAGAGAUGGAGAAACAAUGAUACAGAAGAAGAAGGACAUUGUCAGAACAUAGUGGCUGAGAAUGUGCAUCCAUAUCAUGUCAAAAUACAG